AUUGAACGCUGGCGGCAGGCUUAACACAUGCAAGUCGAGCGGAGAGAGGUAGCUUGCUACUGAUCUUAGCGGCGGACGGGUGAGUAAUGCUUAGGAAUCUGCCUAUUAGUGGGGGACAACAUUUCGAAAGGAAUGCUAAUACCGCAUACGUCCUACGGGAGAAAGCAGGGGAUCUUCGGACCUUGCGCUAAUAGAUGAGCCUAAGUCGGAUUAGCUAGUUGGUGGGGUAAAGGCCUACCAAGGCGACGAUCUGUAGCGGGUCUGAGAGGAUGAUCCGCCACACUGGGACUGGGACACGGCCCAGACUCCUACGGGAGGCAGCAGUGGGGAAUAUUGGACAAUGGGCGGAAGCCUGAUCCAGCCAUGCCGCGUGUGUGAAGAAGGCCUUAUGGUUGUAAAGCACUUUAAGCGAGGAGGAGGCUACUUUAGUUAAUACCUAGAGAUAGUGGACGUUACUCGCAGAAUAAGCACCGGCUAACUCUGUGCCAGCCGCCGCCGUAAUAC
rnacentral:rRNA from 1 species